UACGAAGGGGGCUAGCGUUGCUCGGAAUCACUGGGCGUAAAGCGCACGUAGGCGGACUCUUAAGUCGGUGGUGAAAUCCUGGAGCUCAACUCCAGAACUGCCUCCGAUACUGGGAGUCUCCGAGUCCGGGAGAGGUGAGUGGAACUGCGAGUGUAGAGGUGAAAUUCGUAGAUAUUCGCAAGAACACCAGUGGCGAAGGCGGCUCACUGGCCCGGUACUGACGCUGAGGUGCGAAAGCGUGGGGAGCGAACAGG
rnacentral:rRNA from 1 species